CAGCAGCCGCGGUAAUACGAAGGGUGCAAGCGUUACUCGGAAUUACUGGGCGUAAAGCGUGCGUAGGUGGUGGUUUAAGUCCGUUGUGAAAGCCCUGGGCUCAACCUGGGAAUUGCAGUGGAUACUGGGUCACUAGAGUGUGGUAGAGGAUAGUGGAAUUUCCGGUGUAGCAGUGAAAUGCGUAGAUAUGCGGAGGAACACCGAUGGCGAAGGCAGCCCCCUGGGCCAACACUGACGCUCAUGCACGAAGGCGUGGGGAGCAAACAGGAUUAGAUACCCCCGUAGUCCCUGUCUCUUAUAC
rnacentral:rRNA from 1 species